rnacentral:rRNA from 1 species
UACGUAGGGGGCAAGCGUUGUCCGGAAUUAUUGGGCGUAAAGCGCGCACAGGCGGUCCUUUAAGUCUGAUGUGAAAGCCCACGGCUCAACCGUGGAGGGUCAUUGGAAACUGGGGGACUUGAGUACAGAAGAGAAGAGUGGAAUUCCACGUGUAGCGGUGAAAUGCGUAGAGAUGUGGAGGAACACCAGUGGCGAAGGCGACUCUUUGGUCUGUAACUGACGCUGAGGCGCGAAAGCGUGGGGAGCAAACAGG